CCUCCCAUCUCAGCAAACAGGUUCUUCUUCUCUCAUCUUCAUCCUGCAGAUUCUCGAUCUGUCUUGCUUCGGAACCUCUUUUCCGUUCGUUCUUCGGGAUUUCUUCUCCCAUCUGGGUUUGAGCACGGACGUAGUUGCGAUGAGGAUAACAAGCUCCCUCUUCUGAAAGCAUUGACGACAUCGCUGGCAGAAUCGAACCAAUUAAAUAUUGCCAUCACUGAGCAACUCUGUAUCUUCGUACAAUCUUUGUUGCUGCUUACAUCUACAAGAUCUGUUUGGAUCGUGAGGAAGUAUUGAUGCAUAAUCCAACACUUGAUCCGAGGGCAGCUUGAGCCGCCCAUAUGACGUCAUCUUUGCAACUGAAUCCAUCAGAUAUGAGUUAUAUUUUUUCUUAUUUCGUUACUAUCAUGGGUUUACACCUUUGACACACUGCUUAAUUUCCUGUAAAUGAGGGCCAUCUUGUCUUCCAAGUUGGAUCUAUGAUUAGCUUUACGAUAUGUUUGUGGGUCUUCUGUAGUUUUUGCAUUGUUAAUUUCGUUCAUCUUAAAUCAUCCCUGUGAAGAUUCUCAGACCAUAGGAAGUGCCGUAUGACACUGUAAACAACAGCUGCUUCUCUCCACUGCAAAUGUCCUCCUUCGAGCAUAGCCUUUGUGGUUUGGUCUGGGCUGGAAUCUCCAUUUGCAGCUGGUUUGGUUCAGCUGUGUGUGAUUUUAAACGGGUCUCAGAGGGAUUCUCUUUAAUCUUGUUAGCAUUUUAUUUGGCCGGUCCAGAGUGCCUGUUAUUGUGAUGAAGUUUUCGUUACGAGUAGUUAAUCAGUUGUGAUCAAUAUGAUUUUAUUUUUUGGGGAUGUGUUAUGGCAAUGAUGAUAAAUUAAAGGCUUGUUUCUCAAAACAUUCGCAGCUGCCGCCUAAGAGCUUUCGCCCUGCCAGGCUUGAGAGUUAAUGCUGCUAAUUCCUUCCUUGGAUGUCUGAGCCUUAUGAAAUCCCCAAUUUAUUUUUAUUUUUAUUUUCUUUGUUGACUUCAUUUCUUGAUCUAUUUAUUCCGCCUUCUCUUCUUUGAUGCUUUAAUCUUGUUAAAUGUUGUUGUGUUUUGUUGGUUUAUCUGGGGAGCACUGUCCCAUGUCCGCCCACCGUUCUCUAGUUGGAUCCGAGUUUACAACGCUCCUAAGAGGUAUUCUGGUGGCGCUUCCAGCACAAAUCCGUCUAGAUGGAUCUUUGUUUCGCUCGCCCCCAAAUUCCAGUUUAAUCUCUACUGUUUUAUACUUUUUUUUCAUGUAUUAUAGUUCUAGUUAUUGUGGGAUUGAUUAUUUAGCAAUUUGAACCUUUGUUGGUGUGGUGAUUAUAAAACAUUCCUCGUGCUGACGGGAAAUCCCUGUGAACGACAACUAUACACCCAUAGAAUCUGAGCACCAACAAACAAUAUGUCCUUUGGUUUCAUUUGAUUCUUAAUUUUGUUUUCUGUUUAUUUCCCCUGACUUUCUUUUCGUUUGGACUUGAGACUAAAUGUUUAUCUGUAUCUGUUGAACUUUAAGAUAUGAAGCUUGUUUGACUUGAGGUGUGGUAAAUUCUCUAUUCGUAUUGCUGGUGGUUGCAAUUUGCAGUGAUUAUUGAACAUUAACCACUAGUCACCAGUUCAGAUAUAAACUCUGUAGUGGAGCCCCUGAAGUCCAGCCAUCUCUUGCUAGUUUGCGGGCCACCGUAUUACAAGACCUUGGACAGUAGUCCCGAACUAUCCAGCUCUUUUUCAGCGAGAGCAUUGCUCAGUUGCAAAGCAUCGGGUUCGAAUCAGGCACUCCUCCAUGAAAUGUAAUUUAGACUGUUGAAAUAGAGACGGUUUCAAUAGGGUUCGCUUAAUUUCUUUUUUAAAUGUAGCCUUCGCUUCUAAAAGAUUUUGUAAUUGCUGGUCAAUAGUGAAUCAUUGUGAAGCA